GGGGCUGUAGCUCAGCUGGUAGAGCGCUUGCAUGGCAUGCAAGAGGUCCAGGGUUCGAAUCCCUGUAGCUCCACCA
rnacentral:tRNA from 1 species